GUCAGCAGUGUGGUUAAGGCUAGGCAUAAGGUUAGCAGUGUGGUUAAGGCUAGGCAUAAGGUUAGCAGUGUGGUUAAGGCUAGGCAUAAGGUUAGCAGUGUGGUUAAGGUUAGGUUUAAAAUAACAUUUUAGGAAAAUGAAUUGAAGAAAUGGGCAGGGUUUACGACUUCACGGCUGGGGUAACUAGUAUCUCGCCCCAAAAUCUCAUAGGAAAAACUCAUUUGCGAGCUUCUUAGCUUACACUUCUGGGGCGUGUUCAUUAGGGUACACCAUUGAUAAUAGCUUUGAAAACUUUUGUAACGUAAACAUAAAUUGUUUGUUAUUGGACCAGUACAGUUCAGAGAACACUCGGCACCAUUAGGCUGUACCAGGUCUGCAGCCCUGUUAUAUUUUCUACAAAAUGCCUCUAUACCUUCCUUC
rnacentral:lncRNA from 1 species